GCCUCGGCAGAAGGACCAGACGGAGUCCAGUGUGGAAGGGAGCAAGAAGGAAGGGACAAUUUUUUCGGGUCGAUUAUUGUUGUUCUGGGUUGAUUACCACAUCAACUAAGUUGUGUUCUCUUUUAAGCUCUCGAUCUGGAGCUGUACAUGCCCAGGAUGGUCUUGACGGCGCUGCUGCUUCUACUGGUUAAUUAUGAGGACUUGGUGCUCCAUUAUCUCCUCAUGUCACUUAUGUGGGUGGCGAGGAGAUCAACGAGAUGUCUCGCACCUCCGGUGCACGAUGACAAGAUGGUGGGGCCUUUUGGCGUUCUUGCAAUCCGGUUUCCUCGGCCAGAGUUGGACGACCUUGCCAGCAACACCUCUUCAUCUCGAACUUGUCACUAGAUGCCAAAGGAGAGGUGUAGAUUCGGGAUCAGUGGUGCAUUGCUUACUAAAAAGUAGAGCUUUGAACAAUUACUUUUGAACAAAAGGACAGAUGGAUUAUCUCGAUCAUUGCCCAACAUUGGACAAUAAUAAUAUUUCCCCUUCAUACAGUGGAGCUGGAGUGCUUAAAGGAAUUUUAAUGAAAAAUAAUCCUCUUGAACUCUCUUCUAUCUCCAUGGCUGAUAUGUUGAUGCUCUUGCCUUCCUCAUGUGUGAGGUCCAGCACUUCAAUGCCAAGGCUGGAAUUGCUUUGGGACAGACUGAGCAUGGGUGAAAGCAAGGCUGUUGGACGACGGCAGCUGCCUGGCGGCGGCGGUGGGUGGAUGACGGUGGCCACCGAGCAACCCGC